rnacentral:rRNA from 1 species
UGUGAGCUCGAUGAGUAGGGCGGGACACGUGGUAUCCUGUCUGAAUAUGGGGGGACCAUCCUCCAAGGCUAAAUACUCCUGACUGACCGAUAGUGAACCAGUACCGUGAGGGAAAGGCGAAAAGAACCCCGGCGAGGGGAGUGAAAAAGAACCUGAAACCGUGUACGUACAAGCAGUGGGAGCACGCUUAGGCGUGUGACUGCGUACCUUUUGUAUAAUGGGUCAGCGACUUAUAUUCUGUAGCAAGGUUAACCGAAUAGGGGAGCCGAAGGGAAACCGAGUCUUAACUGGGCGUUAAGUUGCAGGGUAUAGACCCGAAACCCGGUGAUCUAGCCAUGGGCAGGUUGAAGGUUGGGUAACACUAACUGGAGGACCGAACCGACUAAUGUUGAAAAAUUAGCGGAUGACUUGUGGCUGGGGGUGAAAGGCCAAUCAAACCGGGAGAUAGCUGGUUCUCCCCGAAAGCUAUUUAGGUAGCGCCUCGUGAAUUCAUCUCCGGGGGUAGAGCACUGUUUCGGCAAGGGGGUCAUCCCGACUUACCAACCCGAUGCAAACUGCGAAUACCGGAGAAUGUUAUCACGGGAGACACACGGCGGGUGCUAACGUCCGUCGUGAAGAGGGAAACAACCCAGACCGCCAGCUAAGGUCCCAAAGUCAUGGUUAAGUGGGAAACGAUGUGGGAAGGCCCAGACAGCCAGGAUGUUGGCUUAGAAGCAGCCAUCAUUUAAAGAAAGCGUAAUAGCUCACUGGUCGAGUCGGCCUGCGCGGAAGAUGUAACGGGGCUAAACCAUGCACCGAAGCUGCGGCAGCGACGCUUAUGCGUUGUUGGGUAGGGGAGCGUUCUGUAAGCCUGCGAAGGUGUGCUGUGAGGCAUGCUGGAGGUAUCAGAAGUGCGAAUGCUGACAUAAGUAACGAUAAAGCGGGUGAAAAGCCCGCUCGCCGGAAGACCAAGGGUUCCUGUCCAACGUUAAUCGGGGCAGGGUGAGUCGACCCCUAAGGCGAGGCCGAAAGGCGUAGUCGAUGGGAAACAGGUUAAUAUUCCUGUACUUGGUGUUACUGCGAAGGGGGGACGGAGAAGGCUAUGUUGGCCGGGCGACGGUUGUCCCGGUUUAAGCGUGUAGGCUGGUUUUCCAGGCAAAUCCGGAAAAUCAAGGCUGAGGCGUGAUGACGAGGCACUACGGUGCUGAAGCAACAAAUGCCCUGCUUCCAGGAAAAGCCUCUAAGCAUCAGGUAACAUCAAAUCGUACCCCAAACCGACACAGGUGGUCAGGUAGAGAAUACCAAGGCGCUUGAGAGAACUCGGGUGAAGGAACUAGGCAAAAUGGUGCCGUAACUUCGGGAGAAGGCACGCUGAUAUGUAGGUGAAGUCCCUCGCGGAUGGAGCUGAAAUCAGUCGAAGAUACCAGCUGGCUGCAACUGUUUAUUAAAAACACAGCACUGUGCAAACACGAAAGUGGACGUAUACGGUGUGACGCCUGCCCGGUGCCGGAAGGUUAAUUGAUGGGGUCAGCGCAAGCGAAGCUCUUGAUCGAAGCCCCGGUAAACGGCGGCCGUAACUAUAACGGUCCUAAGGUAGCGAAAUUCCUUGUCGGGUAAGUUCCGACCUGCACGAAUGGCGUAAUGAUGGCCAGGCUGUCUCCACCCGAGACUCAGUGAAAUUGAACUCGCUGUGAAGAUGCAGUGUACCCGCGGCAAGACGGAAAGACCCCGUGAACCUUUACUAUAGCUUGACACUGAACAUUGAGCCUUGAUGUGUAGGAUAGGUGGGAGGCUUUGAAGUGUGGACGCCAGUCUGCAUGGAGCCGACCUUGAAAUACCACCCUUUAAUGUUUGAUGUUCUAACGUGGACCCGUAAUCCGGGUUGCGGACAGUGUCUGGUGGGUAGUUUGACUGGGGCGGUCUCCUCCUAAAGAGUAACGGAGGAGCACGAAGGUUGGCUAAUCCUGGUCGGACAUCAGGAGGUUAGUGCAAUGGCAUAAGCCAGCUUGACUGCGAGCGUGACGGCGCGAGCAGGUGCGAAAGCAGGUCAUAGUGAUCCGGUGGUUCUGAAUGGAAGGGCCAUCGCUCAACGGAUAAAAGGUACUCCGGGGAUAACAGGCUGAUACCGCCCAAGAGUUCAUAUCGACGGCGGUGUUUGGCACCUCGAUGUCGGCUCAUCACAUCCUGGGGCUGAAGUAGGUCCCAAGGGUAUGGCUGUUCGCCAUUUAAAGUGGUACGCGAGCUGGGUUUAGAACGUCGUGAGACAGUUCGGUCCCUAUCUGCCGUGGGCGCUGGAGAACUGAGGGGGGCUGCUCCUAGUACGAGAGGACCGGAGUGGACGCAUCACUGGUGUUCGGGUUGUCAUGCCAAUGGCACUGCCCGGUAGCUAAAUGCGGAAGAGAUAAGUGCUGAAAGCAUCUAAGCACGAAACUUGCCCCGAGAUGAGUUCUCCCUGACUCCUUGA